rnacentral:misc_RNA from 1 species
UACGGAGGAUGCGAGCGUUAUCCGGAUUUAUUGGGUUUAAAGGGAGCGCAGACGGGUCGUUAAGUCAGCUGUGAAAGUUUGGGGCUCAACCUUAAUAUUGCAGUUGAUACUGGCGUCCUUGAGUGCGGUUGAGGUGUGCGGAAUUCGUGGUGUAGCGGUGAAAUGCUUAGAUAUCACGAAGAACUCCGAUUGCGAAGGCAGCACACUAAUCCGUAACUGACGUUCAUGCUCGAAAGUGUGGGUAUCAAACAGG